UCGGGAAUUUUGGGCAAUGGGGGAAACCCUGACCCAGCAACGCCGCGUGAAGGAUGAAGUAUUUCGGUAUGUAAACUUCGAAAGAAUAGGAAGAAUAAAUGACGGUACUAUUUAUAAGGUCCGGCUAACUACGUGCCAGCAGCCGCGGUAAUACGUAGGGACCAAGCGUUGUUCGGAUUUACUGGGCGUAAAGCGCGUGUAGGCGGGUCGUUAAGUUGGGGGUGAAAUCCCGAGGCUCAACCUCGGAACUGCCUUCAAAACUGGCGACCUGGACUCAAGUAGAGGCAAGUGGAAUUGCGAGUGUAGAGGUGAAAUUCGUAGAUAUUCGCAGGAACACCAGUGGCGAAGGCGACUUGCUGGACUUGUAGUGACGCUGAGACGCGAAAGCGUGGGGAGCAAACAGGAUUAGAUACCCCAGUAGUCCCUGAGCGGGCUGGCAAGGCGCAU
rnacentral:rRNA from 1 species